CAGUUUCCCAAGGCCCUCAUCCACAAAACCUCAGAUCUUCUGGGCCUGGCAGCUGAAGGAGCUAUCCUGUGUGGAAAUGAAACGCUGACUGCUGUCCUCUGUGACUGCCAAAGACUGAUGCCCUCUGCCCCCAAGGACACCGUGAAGGAGCCGAGGGCAACUUUCUAGUCUAUAUUUAUCCCAGAAGAUCUCCAAUCAGCUAAGGAACACAAACUGCUCCAAAGACACUAGCCUCAGGUGGCCCUUUGAAACUAGCAAGCUCUGGACUUGCUGAAAGCAAGGAAUGAGAACCAGAUGCUUCUGACAAUAUUGCCUACCAACUUGAGCCCCAGCUUCAGACCAGCAUUCCAGACUCCCUUUGCUAGCCCCAGGUAAUCCACAGAACCUGCACAGCAAACCAGAUGUAACUGUGCCUUCCUGGUCUUUGACUGGCAUUCCAGCCUUCCUGGGCCCUGACUGAAAUGCCCGAUUUCAGCUGAGAGGUAGGUACAGAAGAGAUGACGUUGUCCCUUAUCCUUAACCAAAGGCUGGGAUGUGAGAUCUAAAGGAAACUAGUUCCCCUCUGCCAAAGGGGCCAUUUUCCCAGCAUUGCCAAAAAUGACAAACAGCCAUCUCUGGUGCCUAUUAGACCAAAGUGCUUGCUGUCCUCUGGCUCCUUCAGUACUACAGACACUGAGAGUUACAUAAAGGAACACUCAAGAAGGGGGCUGUUCAUCUUGGAACCCAGCAGUCAUUUGUCUGAGUCCAGUCCCUGGAAGACAAGUUCCCAGUAACCUUGACUCACUGAUCGAUCCCCAUCCGAAACUGUACAGCCCUGACUCUCGACUUGUUAAGCUAUGACUAAAUGCUUUUUUGGCUUCUGUAACUUGCUUAGGUAGAUACCCAAAGAUUGGUUGGGGUCUCUUAACUUGGCAGAACAGACCAGCUUUUUCUUGCCUGCAUAGGUAUUGAAAUUCUUCUUGUGGUUUGCCCCUUUCAAAAAUCCUUCCCUUGCUUCCCUUCUCAUGACAAUCUGAAAUUCAGCUCAGAAGUUGUUCGUCCUGCUAGCCACUAACCAACCAAUAAAUCUUUCAUUAUAAUUGGA